GAUGAACGCUAGCGGCAGGCCUAAUACAUGCAAGUCGGACGGGAUUGAGUAGCUUGCUAUUCAUGGGAGUGGCGCACGGGUGCGUAACACGUAUGUAACCUACCCUUGUCAGGGGGAUAGCCUCUCAAAAGAGAGAUUAAGACCGCAUAACAUUGUAAUGUGGCAUCACAAAACAAUCAAAUAUUUAUAGGACAAGGAUGGGCAUGCGGAACAUUAGCUAGUUGGUAAGGUAACGGCUUACCAAGGCUACGAUGUUUAGGGGAUCUGAGAGGAUGACCCCCCACACUGGAACUGAGACACGGACCAGUCUCCUACGGGAGGCAGCAGUAAGGAAUAUUGGUCAAUGGGCGGAAGCCUGAACCAGCCAUGCCGCGUGCAGGAAGACGGCCCUAUGGGUUGUAAACUGCUUUUGCAGGGGAAUAAACCUCGAUACGUGUAUCGAGCUGAAUGUACUCUGAGAAUAAGGAUCGGCUAACUCCGUGCCAGCCGCCGCGGUAAUAC
rnacentral:rRNA from 1 species